rnacentral:lncRNA from 1 species
CUGCAGUGCAGCACCGGAUGAUGACUGAGAGAGCCAGAGCACUGAGCUGCCAGGUGCUAGAGAAGCCAAUUAAGACAGCAGGUCCAAAUGAAGGAAUCAGUCAAGUCUUUAACCACUUACUGUCAAAGGAUAAGCAACAGGCUGAACUGGAGGAAGCACUGGCUCCCCCAUUCCAUAUUUUCCCCCAUGGAGUAACGCUAGUCUAGGACCAGCUGGACCGGCACAGAUCUGGGCGUUACCUCACUGCUGAGAGAGCCCCAAGAGAGAUAGGAAAAGUAAGAGGGGGAGAAGCUAGCGGCAGAAAACUACUAGGCACUAAGAGUGAAGAAAACGUGCCUUCCACGUCUCCCCUUCCCACACCCUCCAAUAAGGAGACUUUGGCAGAGGUGCCUAAGGAAGUCCUGCCUGAGAGGUUUGCCAAGACUUCUGGAGUUAAAGCUGCCUUCUUACAACAGCAAGUGGAUGACAUGAUCCUUACAGGGUCCCCUGUUGGAUUCAGAAAGCUUGUGAAACCACAUAAAAAGAGUCAUACUUGGUAUCCUUUCCUCUUUCAUUGACCCAUUCAUUUAUUCAUACGGGAAAUAUUUAUUAGGAUUUUGUUAUGUACCUUACAAGACAUAUGAAGAUAAAUUAAGCAAUGACUAGAAAUAGAAAGUCUCAAGUGUACUCUUCUUAGUACAAAAUUAGGUAGGACCCUUCUGAAGUGACUUCCAUGUAAAAUGGUGAAAAUCAUGGGAAAAGCAUUCUGGGCAGAAUAAAAUGAUCUGAGGCAAGGGUGAUCACUGGUUGGAUUGAAUUUUAGCAGGAACAGUGUAGUCCUACUAAAACAAACUAAAGAUACAUGCAAGCAAAAAGGGAUAUUUCUUUUGCAUUGUAAAAAAAUAAAAAUAAAGAAAACCCAAAAAACCCACUUGAAGUAUUAUGUUUAGUAGUCCACACACAAAGAAGCUGUCCCUGUUCUGCCUCUUCCCUUCUCUGGUAAAGGGGUACACUUCAUCUGCUAGAGGGAGUAGGAAAAUACCUUAGGACCUUGAAUGUGUCAGAAGGAGUAGUUACUGGUUUCAAAGUAUUCCACUAAUCUAGUAUAAAAGGUGCAAUGAAAUGGUACCUGAAGGAGAAAACUGCUAAAAGUAGAGUAAAAGGAAGAAACAAUCCAUUUACCCCUGAUGAAAUCAGAGAAAUUUGGUGAUUGGUGCUGCAGAUACAAUUAAGUAUGGAGCUCCAUUAGUGAGUGGAAGACAACAGUGAAAGACAAUUUGGCUAAAUGAAAUCCCUGAGAUUAUCAACAUCAUUCUAGAAGAGUUUGACUAUUUGGUGGGCAAUAAGCAGCCACAAUAAGUUUCUAUGAAUCAGGAAUAGAAAUCAGAAUUACUCUAUCCAGAAUGAGAGUUGCUAGCGAGAAGGAGAGGAAACAGAACUACUUAAGAGACAGUUGUCAAAGUGAGUUCAAGUUCAACUGGGAACAACUCAAGAGGCAAUAUUGC